rnacentral:rRNA from 1 species
CAGCCGCCGCGGUAAAACGGAGGGUGCAAGCGUUAAUCGGAAUUACUGGGCGUAAAGCGCACGCAGGCGGUCUGUCAAGUCGGAUGUGAAAUCCCCGGGCUCAACCUGGGAACUGCAUUCGAAACUGGCAGGCUAGAGUCUUGUAGAGGGGGGUAGAAUUCCAGGUGUAGCGGUGAAAUGCGUAGAGAUCUGGAGGAAUACCGGUGGCGAAGGCGGCCCCCUGGACAAAGACUGACGCUCAGGUGCGAAAGCGUGGGGAGCAAACAGGAUUAGAGACCCGCGUAGUCCCUGUCUCUUAUAC